UACGUAGGGUGCAAGCGUUAAUCGGAAUUACUGGGCGUAAAGCGUGCGCAGGCGGUUAUGUAAGACAGGUGUGAAAUCCCCGGGCUUAACCUGGGAACUGCAUUUGUGACUGCAUAGCUAGAGUACGGUAGAGGGGAUGGAAUUCCGCGUGUAGCAGUGAAAUGCGUAGAUAUGCGGAGGAACACCGAUGGCGAAGGCAAUCCCUGGACCUGUACUGACGCUGAGGGCGAAAGCGUGGGAGCGAACGGG
rnacentral:rRNA from 1 species